UGGGGAAUCUUGGACAAUGGGCGCAAGCCUGAUCCAGCCAUGCCGCGUGAGUGACGAAGGCCUUAGGGUUGUAAAGCUCUUUUGGCGGGGACGAUAAUGACGGUACCCGCAGAAUAAGCCCCGGCUAACUUCGUGCCAGCAGCCGCGGUAAUACGAAGGGGGCUAGCGUUGUUCGGAAUUACUGGGCGUAAAGCGCACGUAGGCGGAUUUGUCAGUCAGGGGUGAAAUCCCGAGGCUCAACCUCGGAACUGCCUCCGAUACAGCAAGUCUCGAGUCCGGAAGAGGUGAGUGGAAUUCCUAGUGUAGAGGUGAAAUUCGUAGAUAUUAGGAAGAACACCAGUGGCGAAGGCGGCUCACUGGUCCGGUACUGACGCUGAGGUGCGAAAGCGUGGGGAGCAAACAGGAUUAGAUACCCCAGUAGUCCCUGAGCGGGCUGGCAAGGCGCAU
rnacentral:rRNA from 1 species